AGAGAGAGACAUGCGCGCAUAUCAAUAAGCGGAGGAAAAGAAACUAACAAGGAUUCCCCUAGUAACGGCGAGUGAAGCGGGAAGAGCUCAAAUUUGAAAUCUUAAAGGGUUUCCCUUUACGAAUUGUAGUUUAAAGAAGUGUUUUCUGUUGAGGUUUUGGUAAAAGUUCUUUGGAAUAGGACAUCAUAGAGGGUGAGAAUCCCGUAUUUGACCUUUACUUUCAACUUUGUGAUACACUUUCAAAGAGUCGGAUUGUUUGGGAAUGCAGUCCAAAAUGGGUGGUAAAUUUCAUCUAAAGCUAAAUAUUGGCGAGAGACCGAUAGCGAACAAGUACCGUGAGGGAAAGAUGAAAAGAACUUUGAAAAGAGAGUUAAACAGUACGUGAAAUUGUCAAAAGGGAAGCGUUUGACACCAGUGUUGUUUUUCUGAAAAUCAAUUAAAGAACUGUUUAUGCUAAGUUGUUUAGACUUUAUCAGCUAACUGUUUAGUUUUGAGCUUCUCUUUAAUGCACUUUUCAGUUAACAAGUCAACAUCAAUUUCUUUUGCUGUAAAAAAGCUUGAGGAAGGUGGCUUGAGAUUCGUCUUAAGUGUUUAUAGCCUCUUGCCUAUGCAGUCGGAGAGAUUGAGGUCUGCAGCGUAGAUCCUUCGGGGCUAAAUGCAUUUGUGCUAAGUUAUAGCAUUUUAUAGACAACUUGUUGACUAUGAUUUGUCUUGUAGCUUACUCGCUUAUGUUAUUUUACCUACGCUUAGGAUGUUGAGCGCAUGUCUCUCUCU
rnacentral:rRNA from 1 species